GGAUUAGAUACCCUGGUAGUCCACGCCGUAAACGCUGUCUACUAGCUGUCUGUGUAUUUAAUACGUGGGUAGCGUAGCUAACGCGCUAAGUAGACCGCCUGGGGAGUACGGCCGCAAGGUUAAAACUCAAAUGAAUUGACGGGGGCCCGCACAAGCGGUGGAGCAUGUGGUUUAAUUCGAUGCAACGCGAAGAACCUUACCAGGACUUGACAUCCUACUAAGUUACCAGAGAUGGUUUCGUGCCUUCGGGAAAGUAGUGACAGGUGCUGCAUGGCUGUCGUCAGCUCGUGCCG
rnacentral:rRNA from 1 species